AUACCUCUUGGGGUGGAGAUUGUGGAAGUUACUUAUUCUUCCUCUUCUGCCUUCUAUUGUCUUCAACUACCCCAAAAAAAUCUCCUGGAAACUACUCUCUGAAAGAAGUUGGAGAAAAAUUAUUAAUGCACUUGAAGAAGAUCAAGAAAAAAGAAAGCGUGAGUAAUGUUUUGGCUCCAUUAUAGUUUUAUGAGAGCACCAUCACAUAUGCGGUUCGUUGCUGACCAAAACAUUGCCUCAUGCUGGAGAAGAGUAUCCGAGCAUAGUUGCUGCUUCGAGUCACUCCAGGGAGAUCUAAAAUUCCAGGUGAACCAUUUGCUGCUAUAGUCAAGAUGAAAAGGAGUGAAGAACAGCUAAAUAAAAUCAAGUAUAAUGGAGGGAAUCACCACCAAAAGAGGGAAAAAAGAAAGCCCUGAGACUCCUUUGUAGACCAGGUUCCUUUCUCACCUCCUGGCUGCUGUGCUGACCCCCAAGGUCCUGAGGAUGAGGAGGCUGAGCAAGGGACAAGGCCACUGGUUGUCAUCUGUCUGGGCAUUGGGUGUGACCUCACAAGGCAACUUGCAUUCUUAACUCUGUCUCAGCCCCUGAGAACCCUGAGCUUGUUGGAUAACCCAACCUGCAAAACACAGCUCACAGAUUUCUGAGAAGCCUGAAGAUUCAGGAUCAGGACCAUAGUAAGAUAUGAGUGUCUAGGUAGCAUGACAACAGCCAGAACCACUUCUCAACAAUUGUGUGAUGUGUACACAGCUGCUGCAGUCCUGGACACUCAUCACUGCCACCCAUGACUCUGGAAUUGGGUAUUGCUGUGGACAACAAUACUACUUUGUUCUGGGAAAGAAUGCCCCUUCAUCCUUGCUUCUUUGAGUCACUCAAUGGAGAUUCAAGGUGACAUAUGGGAACAUUACAUUUGCUGAGCAUGUUUGUGCAGCCCUAGGCCUCAGGGGUGAAGGAAAGUGCCCCCUGUUUUGUUCUGUUUUUGCAGUAGGAACCCAGCUCUGUCACUCAGCAAGUCUCAAAGAUGGCCUUAAAUAGGGAGAUCCCACAACAUAACAAGGGAGUUCCACAUAGUGGACAGUCAAAAGCAUGGACACAUCUCCCAUACCGUGGAUCUUCCUAGGGUUCCAAACUCCCCUUGAAACUUACACAUUGGCAGGUAUAAAGUGAACAGCACAAUUGUUCACCUCUGGAAAUAGAAGGGCCACUCCCUAAUCACCAUGGAAAUAUUCCUAAGAAUGUGCCUUUUCUUAUUGGGCAGAAGGCCAGAUAUCUUUUUUUAUCAGUUUUUUCAAUGGCAGUAAUUUAUUUCACAAGGUCACCUUUAAUGGGCCUGACCCAUUUUUCUGCCUAUAUUUUAAUCACAGGCUGUAUCUUCAGCUUCUCCACACUAGAUGAUACCUUAUCCUCCCAGCCUACUGUUCAGUGUUUUUAUGGGCACGCUCAUUCCUCAACAAUACUGGUCCCACAGUAUUUUUCUCUCCAAUCACAACAGAGCAUACCACUGCUGCCUCCAGGCAUGGCAACACCAUGUCUGGCCACCAACAUUGCCAAAUUGGACACCACUUCCACUCUCCUCACUGGAAAUAGAUGCUGUAGCCAUUUAUGCCACUGCUGCCGGAGUAAACUCUCACUUCCUACCA
rnacentral:lncRNA from 1 species